rnacentral:rRNA from 1 species
GUGGGGAAUCUUCCGCAAUGGACGAAAGUCUGACGGAGCAACGCCGCGUGAGUGAUGAAGGUCUUCGGAUUGUAAAGCUCUGUUAAUCGGGACGAAAGAGCCUAGUGUGAAUAAUGCUAGGAAGUGACGGUACCGGAAUAGAAAGCCACGGCUAACUACGUGCCAGCAGCCGCGGUAAUACGUAGGUGGCAAGCGUUGUCCGGAAUUAUUGGGCGUAAAGCGCGCGCAGGCGGAUCUGCCAGUCUGUCUUAAAAGUUCGGGGCUUAACCCCGUGAUGGGAUGGAAACUACAGAUCUAGAGUAUCGGAGAGGAAAGUGGAAUUCCAAGUGUAGCGGUGAAAUGCGUAGAUAUUAGGAAGAACACCAGUGGAGAAGGCGACUUUCUGGACGAAAACUGACGCUGAGGCGCGAAAGCCAGGGGAGCGAACGGGAUUAGAAACCCGUGUAGUCC